AUUAUGACGAUUUCAUAAAGCCUAAAAAUGGCCAUCCCAGUUUCAGAAUCAUAAUUGACGAUUAUAUCAAGAAGAACGGAUCACUCGCGCUCGUGAACGCCGAGAAAAAUCACUUGUCGUAAGACAUAUCUUCGUUUAAAAAUGAAAACUUCAUACAGGUGGCUUUCGGAAACUAUAAUUUAGUACUCAGUGAAAGACGGAUCUCCUCGAAUAUAAAUCUCAUGCCGGCAACGAAAUAUACACUCGUCAUACGACGCAACGGCGGUGACAGCAUGGCAAAACCAUAAUAAAUUAUAUUAUAAGAAAUACAAACUACGAUAAAACUAUAACGAUUAUUGGGGACAAAUCAAUAACGUAAUCGUUUCAUCAUGGUCAAUGAAUUUAUAGGAAUCAAAAUUGUACGCUACGGACGAAGGCAACUUCUUGCACAUUUUUUUUUUUUUUUGUAUAUCAACGGGUAUUUACCCUUUUAAAAGUUAUGUAAAGAAGACAUAUCAGAUAAAAACUAAGUAAGUGUAGUAAAACCUAACAAAAACAGAUAAAAAAAUA